UUCCAAUCAGCUUUCCUUUUCAGUAAAUGAAUUUCCAUCUCAUCAGUAUUACAGUAUUAUACAGUAAUUCAGAAGAUGCUUCUUUCUCUUCACCCUUUGCCAAGGCAUCUGGAAAGAAACCAAAGAAAGCGGCACCGUUUUCUAAGAAGCCGUGAGCGAACGGGGUUGGUGACUCUGAGAUGGUGAAUUGGUGCCCAUCCUGCUUGCUCUGUGUCCCUGGCGUAGCUACCCUUCCUCUUCUCAGUGUCCUCUGUGCCUGGAACCCAGCCUAGGAAUGGAUGAUUCAGAUUUUUAUUAAACCAGCCUGAGUGACACAUCUUCAUAGCAUACAGAAAGAUUACUCCAUAACAAGAAAUGUCUUCUUAACAACCAGAGAUAGAGGAGAGCACACAUGUCUAUACCUCUUCAGUACAAGGGGCUUUCAUUUGUGAAUCAGGUAAAAAUAAUCCUGAUGAGGUGGCUCAGCUGGGAAAAGCAUCCACCACCAAGUCUGAACCGAAAUUAAAAUCCCAGGGUCCGAGUGGUAGAAGGAGACAACUGACUUUAUAAAGUUGUCCUCCGACUGCCACAUGUUCACUGUGGCACGUGACCCCACCCCUAGAUAAAUAGAUGACAGGUAUUUUAAGAAGUCUGUUCCACCUGGUUUUCGACAAAAAAGCUAAAAUUAUACAAUGGGAAAAUGAUAGCAUCUUCAACAAAUGGUUCUGGCAUAACUGGAUAUUGGCAUGUAGAAAUAACUGGA